GACCAAGGGUGUUAUGAUUUAAAGAAUCAAGGACUGAAGAAAAGCUCAUUGUUUCACAGACUUAUUUCUGCUGUAUAAAAUGUGCGCACUUACACUGAAAUGGCUGUCCAGCGACCUGUGCCUGGAAUCCACCGAGACUCUUGAACCUUCUGACACCACCUUUUGGACUGUUUGUUUGCCUGAACUCUAGCUUCCUUGGUCCCGACAACAGACCUGAUGGAAGCAGGCCCUGACAAGAACAUUGCAAAAUUCUACCUCUAUUGCUUAUCUCAUAGUUGGAUAUAUAAAAUUUAACUUGGAAAGUA